UUCAGAGGUGAGAUUCCAAGGAAAGGGGACUCCCACUCCAGCCCCUCCCAGGUCUGUCUGGCACAGGUCCUUGGCAGUGGGCUCUUGGCUGGGCUUUGCCCCUGGUGAGCUGCAGGGGCACAAAAACUACAGCGGCUUUGACCUCUAAAACUGCCUUCCAAAGAGGGAAGGCAUUGUGUGCUGCAACAAUCAGUGGGUGUUGGAUGCCCCCAGGGAGCGAGGGACAGCCUGGAAAGGAGCACUGAGACAGGGCAGAGAGGAGUGGAGCACAGGGGAGGUCAGGGAUGAGGACAGGGCUGGAGCAGGAUGAAACAGACGGGAUGCCUUUGCCAUACAGCUGCUGUCUUUAUCAGGACAUGCUGAGGGAAAGUGGGCAAGAACUUAUAGAGGAAAACAAGUUAAAUGAGUGACCUGAACAAUUCCAUGCUGAACUUCCAGUUUUAUGAGGAGCCCUUCAGGAGAAGAGACAAAAUCCAUGGAAGAGAAGGGAUGCAGGGAAGCAGAAAAGCAGUACAAACAGCACAUAACAGGUACAGGUAGAUGUGAUGAGGUUUCCUGCUGCACAACAUUUCCUCUGAAUGCAGAAACUCAAGUCACAAGCUUCGUUAAACAGUAAUGCAUGCUGCUUUGAUUGAAAGAUCAUGAGGACCAUCACUUUCAUCAAAUAUCACUUUCUGUGAUAAAGAAAAGGCAAACGCUUCAAAAG